AACCAGGGGGCUUAGCCCACUGGCCACCGGGUCCUCACUUAAGUGAAGUGACCCGGGUUCGAUCCCUCUUGGGAACGAAUUGGUGAUUGGAGAUAUAAGGUGGAGUUUGGUGAAUGGAGAGAUAAGGUGGUUCUUGGAGUGGAUGGGGAACUAACUACUAACAUCUAACAUGACUUUGACCGAUCAAAAAAAAAAAAAAAAAAAAAAAAAAAAAAAAAAAAAAAAAAAAAAAAAAAAGUAA
rnacentral:lncRNA from 1 species